rnacentral:sRNA from 1 species
UUUGUAAUUGUAGGUACUAGAGUCUGUAUUCUCACAAAUAGAGAAGACUAAUAUUGCAGACCUGGUGACAGCUCUGAUUGUCCUUUUGGUUGUAUCCAUUGUUAAAGAAAUAAAUCAGCGCUUCAAAGACAAACUUCCAGUGCCUAUUCCAAUCGAAUUCAUUAUGACCGUGAUCGCAGCAGGUGUAUCCUAUGGCUUUGACUUCAAAACCAAGUUUAGAGUGGCUGUGGUUGGGGACAUGAAUCCUGGAUUUCAGCCUCCUAUGACACCUGACGUGCAGACUUUCCAAAACACCAUAGGAGAUUGCUUCGGCAUCGCAAUGGUUGCAUUUGCAGUCGCCUUUUCAGUUGCCAGCGUCUAUUCUCUCAAAUAUGAUUAUCCACUUGAUGGCAAUCAGGAGUUAAUAGCCUUGGGAUUGGGUAACAUAGUCUGUGGAGUAUUCAGAGGAUUUGCUGGGAGUACUGCCCUCUCCAGAUCAGCAGUUCAGGAGAGCACAGGAGGCAAAACACAGAUUGCUGGGCUUAUUGGUGCCAUCAUCGUGCUGAUUGUCGUUCUA